rnacentral:rRNA from 1 species
AUGGCCGGGGACUUCAAUGAAAUUCUGCAUGCACACGAAAAAGAAGGGGGUGCAGCCCGAUCACAACGGUGCAUGCAAGCUUUUAGUGACGCCCUACGUGACUGUAACCUUGAUGAUUUGGGUUACUCAGGAGACAUAUUCAGUUGGCGCAGAGGUCGUAUUCGUGAGAGGGCAGUGGGAAAUAGCUCUUGGGCCGACCUUUUCCCUUGCUUUGGAGUCUCAAAUGAACCGUUCAAUAAAUCUGAUCAUCGCCCUAUACUG